UACGUAGGGUCCGAGCGUUGUCCGGAAUUACUGGGCGUAAAGAGCUCGUAGGCGGUCUGUCGCGUCGGCUGUGAAAACUCGGGGCUCAACUCCGAGCUUGCAGUCGAUACGGGCAGGCUAGAGUUCGGCAGGGGAGACUGGAAUUCCUGGUGUAGCGGUGAAAUGCGCAGAUAUCAGGAGGAACACCGGUGGCGAAGGCGGGUCUCUGGGCCGAUACUGACGCUGAGGAGCGAAAGCGUGGGGAGCGAACAGG
rnacentral:rRNA from 1 species